AUGGGAACCGGCACAGCUGCACCCCGCGAACCCCUCUGGAAACACACACAUCCACCCCGAAGGCCGGGAGAGCCCCCCAGCCAGCUAUGCUGCAGACAGGCAUCCUUGAAAGCUGGGUACCACAUGGCAUCAGAGCACGAGGCCGAGGCAUUGCAGAUCCCUUGUCCCUCUGGCAGCAGCAUCCCAGAGAAGAGACUUGGAAAAGCAGUGACACCGGGAGCGUCCGCUGCGCUCACGGUUGGCAGAGCGGUGCAGCAAUGCCCCAGCCCCAGCUUUCCUGCUUCUCUUUAUCUUGGUGCCAAUGUCCAGCUGCAGGYUCUGGAAAGCUACUGGACAAAGCAGCUGCACACUUCCAAACGGGAGCAACCAGCAAAGAUUACAGGCCUUGGAGGGAAAGACUGCACCAGCGGCAGUGACAUAAAAACCAAAAACAAACAAACAAAAAAAACCCCUUCUGUCAAGAGGGCUCAAAGGCACGCACGUCACGUCUGGGGCACGAGCUGCAGGCGGCAACACCCAGGUUCCCAAAUGCAAAGCCGCCAAACGGUGCGUGAAAUGCAACUCACGCUCGGCACCGCCAGACCGUGCGCCCGCUGCUGGGGCGCGCACGGGAGAGGAAGGGCAAGGAGCGGCUCCCGCCUCGUUUGGCGACGCCGACGCCAGCGGCACCAAGCCGCCGCCGCGGUGCCUGGCUGUCAGCUCCGCGUGGUUUUGCGCAUGAGGGGCCUCGGCAGGAGCAGGAGCCCGGCUGCAGCCCCAGCACCGCGGCGGGAGCAUCACAGCCGAUGGAGGGGCCGUGGCGCGGCCGGGAUCUGGGGUCCCCACCGGGCGCCGCUUCCCAAGCCGCCAAGCAUAGGAGCCCAAAACCCCCCAGUUCAGCAGCGUGAAACUAUCCCGGAGGGCACUUUACCUCCAGAGGGGCAAGAGCUAGAGGGAGGCGCAGGCUCAUCCCCCUCCAGUGGCCUUUUGCUGUGCAAGGGAACCGCAGGGCUGCYCUUGGCCGGAGCCCCCAGGUCACUGCGCGCCCGAGCGCCUCCCUGCUCCUCCAUCCUCCCUGCUCCUCCACCCAGCUCCCUCGGGCCAUGUUUUGUCAGCAAAGGAACGAUUAGCGUGAUUAGCACGCUCUCCCUGGACAACGUCCCGCCGGGAGAUAAGACGGAGGUGGGAGAGCACAGGCAGCCACCGCAGAGCCAGGACGCGAUGGGACGGGAGGCAGCAGCUGCCCAGCAGCACCGCUCCCACGCGCUCCCCUUGCUCGAUGCAAGGAAUGGAGCCUCAGCACCCUUCUCCCGAGAGCCAUCUCCACCAGGAGCAGAUCCGGCCCUUUCCCCCCCGUGA
rnacentral:lncRNA from 1 species